GAAUUUAGAGCGUAACUUCGGUUAGCUCAACCUUCAUUUUCCAACUCUGUGCACUAUUGGCGGACUGAGAGUAAGCAAUUGCUAUUCAGUCUGCGGCUCACUAUUAAACAUUAGUUAAAGUAUGUAAAUAAAAACAAAACAAAAAAAACUUUCAACAACGGAUCUCUUGGCUCU
rnacentral:misc_RNA from 1 species